GAUGAAGAACGCAGCGAAAUGCGAUAAGUAAUGUGAAUUGCAGAAUUCAGUGAAUCAGCGAAUCUUUGAACGCACAUUGCGCCCGCCAGUAUUCUGGCGGGCAUGCCUGUCCGAGCGUCAUUUCAACCCUCGAACCCCUCCGGGGGUCCGGCGUUGGGGAUCGGGAACCCCUAAGACGGGAUCCCGGCCCCGAAAUACAGUGGCGGUCUCGCCGCAGCCUCUCAUGCGCAGUAGUUUGCACAACUCGCACCGGGAGCGCGGCGCGUCCACGUCCGUAAAACACCCAUCUUCUGAAAUGAUGACCUCGGAUCAGGUAGGAAUACCCGCUGAACUUAAGCAUAUCAAUAAGCGGAGGA
rnacentral:misc_RNA from 1 species